rnacentral:lncRNA from 1 species
GCAAUAUUCAAAAACUUAUGCAUAUAGUUAUUGCAUAAUUCAUCCCUUUGAUCUUUAAUGCUCAAGAUGACCUAGGGUUUAACUGUCAACCCUAGAUAAGUCAUUCACAUUAUAUUUCAACCUUUCAAAUCCAUCAUAUGAAUUACAUGGGCUCAAAUUUUAUUAAAUUAAAAUAUAGUGAUGCAUUAAUUCUUAUAAU